rnacentral:rRNA from 1 species
AUGGCGAGCCUCACCUUGCCGCCGGCGCCCCCGAACCCGCGCCAGGACGCCAUCGACCUCCACAAGGCCUUCAAAGGGUUUGGCUGUGAUAGUACAACAGUUUCAAAUAUACUUUCUCACCGUGACUCAAUGCAACGUGGAUACAUUCAACAGGAAUACAAAACUAUGUAUUCUGAGGAACUUUCACAUCGUAUAUCGUCUGAACUCAGUGGAAACCACAAGGUAUGGAAAAUUGUAGAAAAAUCUUUAUUGCAUGAUAAAUCAAACUAUUGCACAGCUAUACUAGCUGAAGAGAAAGCACUGUCGCUCUGGAUUCUUGAUCCUGCUGGACGUGAUGCGACUGUUCUGAAAGAAGCUCUAAGUGCUGAAAGUCUUGAUCUGAAAGCAGCUACUGAUAUAAUUUGUUCCAGGACACCAUCACAGCUGCAAAUAAUGAAACAGACAUAUUAUGCAAAGUUUGGUACUUAUCUUGAGCAUGACAUUAGUCAGCAAGCAUCCGGCGAUCAUCAGAAGAUCUUACUAGCCUAUGUUGGCAUUCCACGCUACGAAGGCCCGGAGGUUGAUCCCACUAUAGUGACACAUGAUGCGAAGGACCUCUACAAAGCUGGUGAGAAAAAGCUGGGCACAGAUGAGAAAACCUUCAUCCGCAUCUUCACUGAGCGCAGCUGGGCACACAUGGCAGCUGUUGCUUCUGCUUACCGUCACAUGUAUGAUCGGUCGUUACAGAAGGUUGUGAAGAAUGAAACAUCUGGAAACUUUGAAGUUGCUCUGUUAACUAUCCUCAGAUGUGCUGAGAAUCCAGCGAAGUAUUUUGCUAAGGUGUUGAGGAAGUCCAUGAAAGGUCUAGGUACUGAUGACAAGACACUUGUAAGGGUUGUGGUAACAAGGACUGAGAUUGAUAUGCAGUAUAUCAAGGCAGAAUAUUACAAGAAAUACAAAAAGCCGUUGGCUGAUGCUAUCCAUUCCGAAACAUCAGGCGGUUAUCGGACGUUCCUGCUUUCUCUUGUUGGUAGCCAUUAG